GGGUGUUUGGCAUAGUGGUAUAGAUCGCCUCCCAGGAGCAGUCGGUCCCGGGUUCGAAUCCCGGAAUAAACA